UACGGAGGGUGCAAACGUUGCUCGGAAUCAUUGGGCGUAAAGCGCACGUAGGCGGCUCGUUAAGUCGGAUGUGAAAGCCCUGGGCUCAACCCAGGAAGUGCAUACGAAACUGGCGAGCUUGAGUAUGGAAGAGGGUCGCGGAAUUCCCGGUGUAGAGGUGAAAUUCGUAGAUAUCGGGAGGAACACCAGUGGCGAAGGCGGCCCACUGGCUCGAUACUGACGCUGAGGUGCGAAAGCGUGGGGAGCAAACAGG
rnacentral:rRNA from 1 species